rnacentral:antisense_RNA from 1 species
AAAUCUGAGACAGCCUUGGUCUGAGGGAGAAAAGACAGAGAAUUCAUGUGCUGCCCAGGCAUAGCCACAUAGCAGGUGGACAUCCCUGGACACUUUUCUG